AAUAUGUAAAAGAAGCAUCUGUUGGCAGUGCAUGAUGAAGUAUUCACAGUUGAAAUGGCAUGAUGUCUAGGAUUUUCUCUGGAAUAUUUUACAAUGUCAUCAAAUAGAAUUGGGGAGAUGAGUGAAACAAAACCAUUGAGAGCUGAUAAUUGCUGGAGAUGGUUAAUGGAUGCAAGGGGGUUAUUAUACCAUAAUAUCUGCUUUUGGUAUGUUUGGAAUUUUCUAUAAAUAAGACAUGCAAAAAUAGUUUCUAAAAAUACGUUUGAAUUCUGACGUUAUGUUUUCUAGAAAAACAAAAUGUAAAAUAUCCUUAGUAUUUAUAAAAUUAAUAUUGUGACAGGUUACUUUUCUAAAAUGGCAACUUUAUGGCCAGGAGCAGUGGCUCAUGCCUGUAAUCUCAGUACUGUGGGAAGAUCGCUUGAGCCCAGGAGUUUGAGACCAGCCUGUGCAACAAAGUGAGACUCUGUCUCUACUAAAAAUAAUAAUAAUAAUAAAAUAAAAAAUAAUAAAAUGGCAACUUUUUCUAAAAACAUUUGUUUGAUGGAAAUAACAUGAAAUAAGAUUACACAGCUCUAAAAUAAAUAAAGUAAAUAAUAUAAAAAAUAGAAAAACAAAGGAUAAAAAGAACAAAGGAAAGAAGGAGAGGAAUGAAAAAGAGAAAGGAAAGAAAAUCAUUGGUUGAUACGUUUUUAUGUUUAAAAAAUAUUUAUUCCAGUACUGUUCAAUGUCUAUUUAAAAUUUCUUAAUAAUCAUUAUUUUUGCCUAGAAACAUCAUGGUACAAGACUCUUACAAAGCUAUGGUUUAAUUUAUUAUCUUGUUAAGCACUUUUACUGUAGAACAGGCACAUUGUUUGAUGCUAAGAAGAACAAUAUUGUGUACCACACUAUAAUCAAGGUUGCAGAAAUACCUUCAAAUCUUCAAAAAAGUAGUUACCACAACUUUGACCAAGACCUGAAUCGAAAGAAGGAUGCUGAAAUUUAACACAAGAUGUGUAAGGACCAAGAUUCUUCACUCUUUGGAGGAAAAGAAAGACAGCCCAGUCAUUAUGUAGAGGAUCUAUAUUCAUCUGUGCUCUGAGAGUCAAUGCAUUAACAGGAGUUCUGUGGUCAUGGAGAUCCUCUGAAAAUUAAAAUGACAAAGAAACAGAGGGGAAAAUUAAGAUUUCAACAGGACAGAAAGGCUGGAAUGUGGUGGGGCGAUCAUAGCUUACUGCAGCUUUGAACUCCUGGGCUCAAGCAAUCCUCCCACUUUGGCCACCCAUGUAGCUGGGACCACUCGCAUGUGCCACCACGCCCAGGUAUUUCCAAGAUCGCAACCUAGAAAUGGUGAGAAGCCUACCCAGGACCACACUGACAACACAGUCUUCAAUGGUUCAGCCUCCUGCUGCCUCCAAGUGCCGGUGUUCCCAAAUGCAGGGGGAUUUCAGACUUUCAGCCUUUCAUUUACGUCCAAGGCACAGAUGCCAAGAUGUCCCCACGUCUGUCUUCAGAGUCUAAUUUGCAAAUUGGCAGCUUCAGACCACUCUCGCUAUCUGCAUUGCUAUAUUUACACCUGAGCUGAUGUGUACCCGAGGAAAGAGUGCUAUGACCCAGUGCUUGGAUGACUCGUCUAAAGCCAUCCAGAGUCUAACUCCUGUGCAUGGGGAGCCUUUCUGGGUCAUCUUCUCAUCUCUGCCUGGCCACUAAUGCUUGCCUUCUAAGACUGUAGAUGAAAAGGGUCAAACUGUGAAAAAUAUUUGAAAAGAAUUCUUCCGAGCCAAAUAUAAGAGACCAAUAGCCUGUGACACAGCUCUAGGAGAUCAUGAGAACAUGUACCCAAGGUAAUUGGUCUACAGUUUUGUUUAUACAUUUUAGCGAGACAUAAGACAUCAAUCAAUACAGGUGAGAUGUACAUUGAUUCUGCUCAGAAAGGCAAGACAACUUGAAGUGGGGAGAGGGGUUUCCAGAUCAUAGGUAGAUUCAAAAAUUUUCUGGUUGGCAAUUGGCUGAAAAAGUUCAUCUAAAGACCUGGAAUCAAUAGAAAGGAAUAUCUGGAUUAAAAUAAAGGCUUCUAGAGACCAAGGUUUUGCCAUAUAGAUAAAGCAAAAUGAAACAAAAGUAAGAAUUGAACUUGAGAGGCUUUGAAUAUGGAAGAGGCCCAAGCCCAGGAAUACAGGAGGCCCCUGGAAGUAGGAAAAGGCGUGAAAAUCAUUUCUGCCCUAGAAUCUCCAAAAGCCCUGCUGACACCUUGACCGAUAAGAAAUAUAAUAAAUUUAUUUCAUUUUAAGUCACUGAGUUUGUGAUGAUUUGUUGCAGCACCAAUAGGAAGCUAAAACAUCCUGCCCCAUCACCCCUCUUUGACUAGUCCACUUUUAACUCAAUUGCUCCAGCAAUAAAGAUUUAAAA